rnacentral:lncRNA from 1 species
UCGGCUGCUGGACUGGAGUGUGCCUCCUAGUAGACUCUAAUGUGCCAGCCUCGGGAUCUGAAAUGAACUGAAUGUCUGGAGAUGCUACCUUGAGAUCAUGGAGGGGUGACGAUGGUCCUUCUUCCUCAGCUCUAUCCUCAGCUCUCUCUUCUACACCUUUAGUCCAACCACCAUCUGUCUUAGUAAAUCCCAUGCGGUGCAAAGUAUGUUGGUUGAUGGUGUCAGAGUGAGAAAGCCUAGCUGCAGCCUCCCCCAAAACUAACUCCAAACCUCCUAAAUACCAAAGUGAGGGCCAUACCGAAAGGCAGAUGUGCCUUGGAUCUAUUCAGGGUUUUCCUCAUAGCUUCUAUCAUUAAUGCUAGG